UACAGAGGGUGCAAGCGUUGUUCGGAAUCAUUGGGCGUAAAGGGCAAGUAGGUGGUUAUUUAAGUUUGCUGUGAAAUCCCCGAGCUUAACUUGGGAAGUGCGGUGGAUACUGAAUAACUAGAGUACCGGAGGGGUUCGUGGAAUUGUCGGUGUAGCGGUGAAAUGCGUAGAUAUCGACAGGAAUACCAGAGGCGAAAGCGACGAACUGGAAGGUAACUGACACUCAAUUGCGAAAGCGUGGGGAGCAAACAGG
rnacentral:rRNA from 1 species